CUGAAGCAGGAAGGGGAGGGAGAGGAGGGGAGUGAGCGACGGGAGGAGAGGAGGGGGCUGGAGAACCAGCCCGGAAUUCACAGACAGCCUCGCAGGUGUCCCCGCUCCAGCCUCUUUCUUGGGGUGCAGUCCCCUCCCACACCCCCUUUUCAAGGCCGAACCCAGCGCCCACACUAAAUGUCAACUCUCCCCAUUAUCCGGUUGAGGAAACUGAGGCCAUGCAGAGGUGGUGAUGUGCCAAGUCGCAGCUCGGGGCAAACGUUUAUUCGCAGAACCAUCGAAGACCAGGAAACUUACGGACGUCACCUGGCCAGGGACUGAGCAGCGCCUGCCCAGCUCCUAGGGCUCCCCGCCCCCACCCCUGUACGCGGAGAUGCCGUCUCCCGGCGGCGGAGAGGACCCCGCAGGCCCCGCCCUUCCCCAGGGGAAGUGAGAAUAGGGUGCCCACCCCCGCAUUCUCGCCACUUCCUCCCCGGGAGAGCGAGAGGCGAGGAGCAGGGGGGAGGCGGGAGGCGGGAGGAAGGGGAUGCGGGGGCAGCGGGAGGCGGGAAGGCGUGGGGUCUCUCCACUAUUGCCCCUGCUGUAGCGCUUAAGGGCCCCAUGUGCACGGCCUUUGAUACCACUCAGACAACUUUGGGGUCCCCCAAAGUUGCUCCUUCCUUGGGGUCCUUUCUGAAUCAACGCGGACCCUGCCGGUGCCUCCCCAUCCCCGCAGCCUGGGGCAGCGGCCUCUUCACCCCCUGCCGCCUGCCUUGCCUCCAGUUCCAUCUACUCCCCAUCUGGGGCCCAGAUCCCUUCCGCUGGCUGGGGGCCAGGUCCAGCGCCCCGUCUGCACCAGUCCGGACCCCUAAGCUCGCUCCAGGAACCCCCAGUCUUGGUGCAGAAAUGCAGCCCACGAUGUGCAGGGCCAACUGGCUUCGAAUCUGCCUUCCACAUACUGAAGCCUUUCUUGGCUGACAGCCUCAGUUUGUCCAUCCGAAAAAAGGGGACAAAGCAUAUCUAGAUGGCUCACGCCUGUAAUCCCAGCACUCUGGGAGGCCGAGGCGGACGGAUUACUUGAGGUCAGGAGUUCCAGACCAGCCUGGCCAACAUGGUGAAAUCCCGUCUCUACAAAAAUACAAAAAUUAGCCGGGCGUGGUGGCGCACGCCUGUAAUCCCAGCUACUCAGGAGGCUGAGGCAGGAGAAUCACUUGAACCCAGGAGGUGGAGGCUGCAGUGAGCCGAGAUAGUGCCAUUGCACUCCAGCCUGGGCGACAGAGCAAGACUGUGUCUUAAAAAAAAAAAAAAAGAAUACCUGGAGAAUGGGUUUCCCAUCUUGGCAGCAUGAAUACUUCCACUCAUUCAUUAAUUCACUCAUCCAUUCAUUAUUCUACGAACUCAUCCAUUAUGCUACUUAUUGCAUUCAUUCCUUUACUCAUUCACUCAUUCAUUGAUUCACACACCACAGACAGCCAGGGAGGGCGGCGGGCCACAGGGGCCCACAUCUCAGUGUGGACAGACGUCAGGGGCCCACAGGACCGUGGGUGGGGACAGCCCCAAGGCUGCAAAUAAACGUUUGCCCAGAGCUGCA